UUGUGCCAAAAAUUAACGGCUGGAAGAAGAAAGAGAGAGAUGGAUUUCUUGAGUUGUGUACUAUUAUGUCUUAUGGUUGCCUGGAUCGUAAUCCAAGCCCUCCAAUAUUCAUUUGCAAGAAGAAUUCCCACAAACCUUCCACCUGGACCAAAGCCAUUUCCUUUGAUUGGAAAUCUCCUAGAGCUUGGAAACAAACCCCACAUCUCUCUAAUCAAGCUUUCAAAACGCUAUGGCCCCAUUAUGACUCUACAACUCGGCCAAAUAACAACAGUUGUAGUUUCUUCAUCCAUCGUCGCCAAACAAGUCCUCCGCACCACGACCAAUUCUUUUGCAACCGAACUAUCCCGGAUGCAGUCCAAGCCUGCAAGCAUGCCAAGCACGGCAUGCCCUUCAUACCUGUUUCAGCUAAACGGAGAAACCUUCGCAGAAUACGCAACUCCCAAUUGUUCGCCACCAAAGUUCUCGACGCCAACCAAGCCAACCGUCACCUAAAAGUGCAAGAGCUCAUAGCUGAUGUAAGCGUGGUAAAAGGUAAGGCAGUUGAAGUUGGAAGGGCUGCUUUCAUAACUACCCUCAAUUUGCUGUCACGUACUGUCUUUUCUGUGGAUCUAGCGGACCCGAAAAGUGAGACGGCUAGAGAGUUCAAGGAGUUGGUGUGGGGUAUCAUGAAAGAGGUCGGGAAACCGAACUUGGCUGACUAUUUUCCUGUGCUUAAGAAGAUUGAUCCCAUGGGGAUACGGCGCCGUUUGACCAAGCACUUCCGGAAGAUGAUUGACCUCUUUGACAGCUUGAUCUUCCAAAGGUUGGAAACAAGAAAAUCACAUGAUUAUGUCACAGCCAAUGAUAUGUUGGAUACUCUUAUAAACAUGAGUGAAGAGAAGAAUGAGGAUAUGGACAUUCCUGAAACUCAUCAUCAUUUGUUUCUGGAUUUAUUUGUUGCGGCCACAGAAACAACUUCAGCCACAUUGGAAUGGGCAAUGGCUGAGCUACAAUGCAACCCGGAAAAACUGUCAAAAGCUCAAGAGGAGCUAGAACAAGUCAUUGGGAAAGGGACAUAGAAAUCUGCGGUUACAUUGUACCAAAGGGUGCACAAGUGUUGGUCAACGCAUGGGCCAUCGGCAGAGAAACCAGCAUUUGGGACAACCCUACCUCAUUUAUCCCUGAAAGGUUUUUGGGAUUGGAUAUUGACGUACUGGCCAGAACUUUGAGCUUAUUCCGUUUGGUGGCGGGAGGAGAAUAUGUCCUGGGUUGCCUUUGGCGAUGAGAAUGUUGAAUUUGAUGUUGGGUUCACUUAUUAACUCGUUUGAUAAUUGGAAGCUUGAAGAUGGAUUUGUGCCAGAAAAAAUGAACAUGGAUGAGAAGUUUGGCCUCACUUUACAGAUGGCUCAUCCUCUGAUAGCUGUGCCCAUCAAGUAUUAGGAGAACCAAACCUA